UCAACGUCUCUCACAGCUCCUGCAACCAUCUCCGCACAAUCCUUCUCAGGUGACCGGCGAAGCCACCGGCGAAACCACAAUCACACAAUCGCACCCUCUCUCCUCCUUCUCAGGCGACAACAGAAAUUCAGAACGCCGGUGAAGGGAGAUCGAAUUUGUAGGCAAUCAACGGAAAAAUUGACAAGAUGUCUCAGUAAAAUUUUGAGCCCACUCUCCUCAACGAGGAACUAGAAGCACAGUAAUUUGAUACUGAGUAUACGUGUGCAAGGCAUAAUUCUGCCGAGGAAAAUCUGUAAGGAAUAAACUUGGACACUUCAUAGUUUAUACAAGGAUGUUCGCAAACGAUGCUUUCUCUGCUAGAAUGGACAGAUGAUCUGGAGGCCUUUGUUUUGAAAGGAUAUGGAAAUUCUGUGAACUACCGCAUGGGAUUGCCUUUCCUUAAAGAUGUAGUCGAGUCCAUGGAGCUUGCUAUCAAGGCUAACGAAGGUACACAAAAUUUUGUGGUUUGUGUUUUUUUGGUUGAUGUCUCUUUUGUAUUUGCAUUGUCUUCAACAAGAAUUAGUGAUUUGCUGCAUGUUGGUGGAUAUUCCCCUCAUUUAAGGUAUUUGAUGACUUAUAACUUGUGCUGUGUCCUCUACUUAAAUUGUCCUUGAAACCAUUCUUUCUUAUUCACAUGGGAACUUUACCAUAAGCAAAUUUGAUGUGUAAAAAUAUCCUUUACUCUAAUUGCUGGAUUUUGACAUGCUAUCAGAUCACAAAAUCAAAACAUUCUUCUACUUUAAUUUACCUUAAAGAUAUGUGCUGAGUUAUUUGGUUCAUUGUGCUAUACAUUCCAGCAUGUAUGGAAAGUUCAGAAAGUGGUAUACGGAUCUAACUAGGGUCAAUUCAGCUUCUUCUUUUGCUAAAAGUAUCUCAGGCAUAUUCAGGCACAGCUCAACUGCUCACCAGGAUAGCUCUUCAUCUUUUCCUAGACUCAAUUUGUUCGUCCAGCAGUAGGUUUUCACAACUCCAAGGGAGGUGCCCUUUACCAAAGAGGAGUUGGAUGAAGUUCGAGAUAAGUGGGCUACUUACUUCAACGAUUGUGAACUACCCUCAGUGUAAUAAAUAGAGCAGGCUUGUAGUUAUCGGUGACUCUUACAUUACUUUGUUAUUUAUCGAUUUAAUUAAUUACAUUUGAAUUAAUUCGGUAAUAUUAUUGGAAAUUUGAAAUUUAUAUCAUUUUUGAGGAAUGUCAAGCUGAUGUUUGGUG